rnacentral:rRNA from 1 species
UACAGAGGUCUCAAGCGUUGUUCGGAUUCAUUGGGCGUAAAGGGUGUGUAGGUGGCGCCGUAAGUCGGGUGUGAAAUUUCGGAGCUUAACUCCGAAACUGCAUUCGAUACUGCGGUGCUUUGAGGACUGGAGAGGAGACUGGAAUUCAUGGUGUAGCAGUGAAAAUGCGUAGAGAUCAUGAGGAAGACCAGUGGCGAAGGCGGGUCUCUGGACAGUUCCUGACACUGAGACACGAAGGCCAGGGGGAGCAAAAACGGGG